rnacentral:rRNA from 1 species
UAAGGAGAAGUCACUAAUCCCAUGCUGCCAAGAAAAGCCUCUAGCGAGCUGGCACGGUACCCGUACCCCAAACCGACACAGGUGGACAGGUAGAGAAUACCAAGGCGAUCGGGAGAACUGUGGUUAAGGAACUCGGCAAAAUGCCUCCGUAACUUCGGGAGAAGGAGGACCCCAUUAGGGUGAAGGACCUCGCGUCCGGAGCUCGAAGGGGUGGCACAGACCAGGGGAAAGCGACUGUUUACUAAAAACACAGCAGCGUGCGAAGUCGUAAGACGAUGUAUACGCUGUGACGCCUGCCCAAUGCCGGAAGGUUAAAGGGAAGGGUUAGUCCGCAAGGGCGAAGCUCUGAACUGAAGCCCCGGUGAAUGGCGGCCGUAACUAUAACGGUCCUAAGGUAGCGAAAUUCCUUGUCGGGUAAGUUCCGACCUGCACGAAUGGCGUAACGACUUUCCUACUGUCUCAACCACAGACCCGGCGAAAUUGAAGUACGAGUAAAGAUGCUCGUUAGCUGCAGAAGGACGGAAAGACCCCGUGGACCUUUACUAUAGCUUGAUGUUGAGUUUGGUUAUGUGUUGUGUAGGAUAGGUGGGAGACUUGGAAGCAUUGGCGCCAGCCAGUGUGGAGUCAACCUUGAAAUACCACCCUGCUCAUGACUGAACUCUAACCCACGUCCCUGAUCGGGAUGGGGGACAGCGUCUGGUGGGUAGUUUGACUGGGGCGGUCGCCUCCUAAAGAGUAACGGAGGCGCCCAAAGGUUCCCUCAGGCUGGUUGGCAAUCAGCCGUCGAGUGCAAUGGCACAAGGGAGCUUGACUGCGAGACCUACAAGUCAAGCAGGUGCGAAAGCAGGGCAUAGUGAUCCGGCGGUUGCGUGUGGAAGCGCCGUCGCUCAACGGAUAAAAGGUACCCCGGGGAUAACAGGCUCAUCUUCCCCAAGAGUCCAUAUCGACGGGAAGGUUUGGCACCUCGAUGUCGGCUCAUCGCAUCCUGGGGCUGAAGCAGGUCCCAAGGGUUGGGCUGUUCGCCCAUUAAAGCGGUACGCGAGCUGGGUUAGAACGUCGUGAGACAGUUCGGUCCCUAUCCUCUGCAGCCGGAAGGAACUUGAGAAAAUCUGUCCCUAGUACGAGAGGACCGGGAUGGACGCAGCUCUCGUGUGCCAGUUGUCCUGCCAAGGGCACUGCUGGUUAGCGACCUGCGGAAGGGAUAAGCGCUGAAAGCAUCUAAGUGCGAAGCCCAUUUCUAGAUGAGGUUCCUCACUGGGUUAACCAGGUAAGGCCCGUGAUAGACCAACACGUUGAUAGGCCGGAGGUGUUAGCGUGGUAACACGUUCAGCCGACCGGUACUAAUCGGCCGAGGGCUUGGAUG